rnacentral:rRNA from 1 species
AGUCAUACGCUCGUCUCAAAGAUUAAGCCAUGCAUGUCUCAGUACAAGCUAAAUUAAAGUGAAACCGCGAAAGGCUCAUUAAAUCAGUUAUGGUUCCUUAGAUAGUACACAUUUACUUGGAUAACUGUGGUAAUUCUAGAGCUAAUACAUGCAAAUAGACCUCCUAUCGGAAACGGUGGGAGCGCUUUUAUUAGAUCAAAACCAAUAGGCAGCGGUUUAGGCCGUUGUCGCAAUACUUGGUGACUCUGAAUAACUUUAUGCUGAUCGCACGGUCUAGAACUGGCGACGCAUCUUUCAAAUGUCUGCCUUAUCAACUGUCGAUGGUAGGUUCUGCGCCUACCAUGGUUGUUACGGGUAACGGGGAAUCAGGGUUCGAUUCCGGAGAGGGAGCCUGAGAAACGGCUACCACAUCCAAGGAAGGCAGCAGGCACGCAAAUUACCCACUCCCGGCACGGGGAGGUAGUGACGAAAAAUAACGAUACGAGACUCAUCCGAGGCCUCGUAAUCGGAAUGAGUACACUCUAAACCUUUUAACAAGGAUCUAUUGAAGGGAAAGUCUGGUGCCAGCAGCCGCGGUAAUUCCAGCUUCAAUAGCGUAU